ACGCUCGACACCUACUGGAGGCAGCAGUGGGGAAUAUUGCACAAUGGGGGAAACCCUGAUGCAGCGACGCCGCGUGGAGGAAGAAGGUCUUCGGAUUGUAAACUCCUGUUGUUGGGGAAAAAGAGGAUGGUACCCAACAAGGAAGUGACGGCUAACUACGUGCCAACAGCCGCCGGUAAUACUGAGCGGGCGUGGCGAAGGACG
rnacentral:rRNA from 1 species